rnacentral:rRNA from 1 species
UGGGUAGUCCGUACGAGCGCACCCUAUCCUUAGUUGCCAUCAGUUCGGCUGGGAACUCUAGGGAGACUGCCGGUGACAAACCGGAGGAAGGUGAGGACGACGUCAAGUCAUCAUGGCCCUUAUGGGCAGGGCUACACACGUGCUACAAUGGCCGGUACAAAGGGCAGCGAAGCCGCAAGGUGAAGCGAAUCUCACAAAACCGGUCGUAGUCCGGAUUGCAGUCUGCAACUCGACUGCAUGAAGCUGGAAUCGCUAGUAAUCGUGGAUCAGAAUGCCGCGGUGAAUACGUUCCCGGGCCUUGUACACACCGCCCGUCACACCAUGGGAGUGGGCUGUACCAGAAGUAGGUAGUCUAACCUUCGGGAGGACGCUUACCACGGUGUGGUUCAUGACUGGGGUGAAGUCGUAACAAGGUAGCCCUAGGGGAACCUGGGGCUGGAUCACCUCCUU